rnacentral:rRNA from 1 species
GAUGAACGCUAGCUACAGGCUUAACACAUGCAAGUCGAGGGGCAGCAUGAAGUUUUCUUCGGAAGACUUUGAUGGCGACCGGCGCACGGGUGAGUAACGCGUAUCGAACCUGCCUCAUACUCGGGAAUAGCCUUGCGAAAGUAAGAUUAAUGCCCGAUGUUCUUGGUGUUCCGCAUGAGGCGCGAAGCAAAGAUGCAUUGGUAUGAGAUGGCGAUGCGUCCCAUUAGCUUGUUGGAGGGGUAACGGCCCACCAAGGCAUCGAUGGGUAGGGGUUCUGAGAGGAAGGUCACCCACAUUGGAACUGAGACACGGUCCAAACUCCUACGGGAGGCAGCAGUGAGGAAUAUUGGUCAAUGGACGGAAGUCUGAACCAGCCAAGUAGCGUGCAGGAAGACGGCCCUCCGGGUUGUAAACUGCUUUUAGUUGGGAAUAAAACGCGGGACGUGUCCCGCCUUGUAUGUACCAUCAGAAAAAGGACCGGCUAAUUCCGUGCCAGCAGCCGCCGCGG